CGGAAUUCUGUGCAUUCCGGUUCUUUAUCGCCGUGAGGGCGGGUGAUUGGUUGUCUAAAUUUUCAACAAAGAGUUGCAGGAUGCUUAGAUUUGGAUGGGAUGGGCGCAGAGUGCAAGUAUCAGAGUCAUUAGCUAGUUAGUUUGUUUGUACUUCUUUGAUAUCGAUGAACAUUUGAAGAUCUUGUAAUUGAACUAAUUUGUUUAUUUGGACAUGUUGGACUGCUCUAUUUGAA